rnacentral:rRNA from 1 species
GUCGAGCGAUCUUCUUCGGAAGAGAGCGGCGGACGGGUGAGUAACGCGUGGGUAACCUGCCCUGUACACACGGAUAACAUACCGAAAGGUAUGCUAAUACGGGAUAACAUAAGAAAUUCGCAUGUUUUUCUUAUCAAAGCUCCGGCGGUACAGGAUGGACCCGCGUCUGAUUAGCUAGUUGGUGAGGUAACGGCUCACCAAGGCGACGAUCAGUAGCCGACCUGAGAGGGUGAUCGGCCACAUUGGAACUGAGACACGGUCCAAACUCCUACGGGAGGCAGCAGUGGGGAAUAUUGCACAAUGGGCGAAAGCCUGAUGCAGCAACGCCGCGUGAGCGAUGAAGGCCUUCGGGUCGUAAAGCUCUGUCCUCAAGGAAGAUAAUGACGGUACUUGAGGAGGAAGCCCCGGCUAACUACGUGCCAGCAGCCGCGGUAAUACGUAGGGGGCUAGCGUUAUCCGGAUUUACUGGGCGUAAAGGGUGCGUAGGCGGUCUUUUAAGUCAGGAGUGAAAGGCUACGGCUCAACCGUAGUAAGCUCUUGAAACUGGAGGACUUGAGUGCAGGAGAGGAGAGUGGAAUUCCUAGUGUAGCGGUGAAAUGCGUAGAUAUUAGGAGGAACACCAGUAGCGAAGGCGGCUCUCUGGACUGUAACUGACGCUGAGGCACGAAAGCGUGGAGAGCAAACAGGAUUAGAUACCCUGGUAGUCCACGCCGUAAACGAUGAGUACUAGCUGUCGGAGGUUACCCCCUUCGGUGGCGCAGCUAACGCAUUAAGUACUCCGCCCGGGGAGUACGCUCGCAAGAGUGAAACUCAAAGGAAUUGACGGGGACCCGCACAAGUAGCGGAGCAUGUGGUUUAAUU